UAAAAGUAAUAAUAGUAGAAAACUCCCAUGGUUUCCGUUUCUUCCCUAUCUUGUAUCUGCAUUUUUUAAACCUUUGCUUUCCUUCAACUAAAAAAGGGAAGCCCGGUGCACUAAAGCUACCGUUAUGUGCGGUGUCCAAGGAAGGACCCCACCACAAGAGUGUAUCGUAUGCAGCCUUACCUUGCUUUCUGUUAGAGGCUGUUUCCAAGGCUUGAACCGGUGACCUCCUGGUUACAUGGCAGCAACUUUACCGGUUACUCCAAGGCUCCCCUUCUUUGCUUUCCUUCAACUGAUCUUAAAAAUUUCUGGUUCACUUUUGAUUCCUCUGAUAAUUUUAAAGAUUUAAAUUUUCCGUUGUUGUAAUUUUGUUUGACUUGAGCAGUAAAUCUUGAAAGUUGGAAGCUGUGACAAAGUUCAGGUCUUGCUCUCUUAGUACCUAAGUGCUUCACCAAUUCUGUCAAUUUCUGAAAAAAAAAAACUAAGGAUUUUAUUCAUUUGGGGCUUUAAGAAAGAGUCAGCUUUUAUACCUUUUGACUACCCAACUUUGAUUUUUUGUUUUUUUUUUUUAGUUAAUAAUGGACUGUCAUCAAGUAGUCAGUAUGGAAAAAUCCCUUGUACCAAUUAAACACUUGCCAGCACAAUAUACUUUUUCUGGAGACGCAACUACUGCACAUAUGGAGGACAACCAGUAAUCAAAGUUAUGGAGGGAAUGGAAUAAAGCAGAUACUUUCACACAGGAAAUCAGCCUGUUCCAAAGAACUUUAGCCCCUCCAAUUAACCAAUUAACUAAUAUCAGGGAACCAACCUCAAUUACAAUCUUUUCAAUAUGGUACUGUCACAUUCGCAAAAAAAAGUAGUUCAACACUGAUAUAACAUAACUGUGUUUGCUUCUUCACCAAUACUGAAAAUGUUCAACUCUUACACAAAAACUUCAACCAAAAAAUGACGUUACAUUUUGCUACACAUUCCUGUUAAACUUUCCAUUUUCACGUAUAAACUGUUCUUCAAAAUACUGGUUCUUUUCAAUUUUAUUGUGCAACAGGUUUCAUUUCAGGCCAAGGAUGCAUACCUUUUUGUUAUCUAUGUAAAUACGAUGUAUAUAACCUCUUGUAAAACUUGGCUUCAUGAUAAAUACUAUGUAUGAAGUAAAU
rnacentral:lncRNA from 1 species